AAAUCUUUCAUGAAGGAAAACACAAGCACCUACAUAAUAAGUGUGAGACAGCUGGUGAGCAGAAAAGAUGGUAAACAGGAGGGAUCAGGAUAGGCUGUGAACGAGAGAGAACAGAUGCAGCCAGACCUGCUGAGUUUCUCCAGCACUCUCUCUAGUUUUGAAGCAGAAACUUAUGUUGAUUAUCUAUUUGAUGUUAGAGGUCAGUUUUGUGGGUAAGAGAUGCUACCAGUGAUUCAGCAGACCCUGAGGUGGCGGCCGCUGACGUGGAACCUUCGCCAGGCGGAUCUCGUAAGGGGGCUGUAGGUCUUGGAUGGCAGUCAUCAAGAGGGACCACAUGACAAAAAUGCCUUCUGCAAGGGCCCUGAGCAUAAUUCAGAUACUCGUCUUAUCUUGUUUCUUAUCACGCUCUCAAGGACAAAGACUGUGAAGAUUUAAGUUGUUAUUCUUUUCAUUCCCUUGUUGUGGACAUACUGUUCUUAUAUUUUUCUCUUGUUGAAUGUUUACAAAGUUCCGCAGAGACAAGUUGUCCCUCGACUGCAGACUUCAGCAAAGUUGC